rnacentral:ncRNA from 2 species
AAAAUAUCUUUUUAUUUAACUCAUAUAAAUCCGAUAAUAUGGUUCGGAAGUUUCUACAGGAAAACCUUAAAUUUUUCUACUAUGAGUAAGCUUAGCUACGAU